rnacentral:lncRNA from 1 species
AACAAGCCGUUAAACCCCUAGGUUAUCCUAGUGGACGAGUGUUGUCUCGUGAGGGUUUUCAGGGAUGUUACCCACAAACAUCAUGAAUGAUAUGACAUGAGAUUCUAAUAAAAAUAUGAAAUAAAUCCUAAGCUAAUACACAUGUAAUUAAUUGAUAUAUAUUUUCAAGCAUGGCAACUAUCAAAGUAAGGAAAAAAAAUGAUCAUGUAGCGUGCAUGAAAUCACAUGAUUUUCUCAGAGUACUAAUACCUCCACCACAACCGGGCACCGCCUGAGUUUUAGGUGCACUACUCAAGCUCACAAAUGUUUUCUACAAUUUGUUAGAACCUGAUCCAUCAAAUU